rnacentral:rRNA from 1 species
AUUGAACGCUGGCGGCAUGCUUUACACAUGCAAGUCGAACGGUAGAGGGGGCAACCCCUUGAGAGUGGCGAACGGGUGAGUAAUGCAUCGGAACGUGCCCAGUCGUGGGGGAUAGCCCGGGGAAACCCGGAUUAAUACCGCAUACGACCUGAGGGUGAAAGCGGGGGACCGAAAGGCCUCGCGCGAUUGGAGCGGCCGAUGUCGGAUUAGGUAGUUGGUGGGGUAAAGGCCUACCAAGCCUGCGAUCCGUAGCUGGUCGGAGAGGACGACCAGCCACACUGGGACCGAGACACGGCCCAGACUCCUACGGGAGGCAGCAGUGGGGAAUUUUGGACAAUGGGCGCAAGCCUGAUCCAGCCAUGCCGCGUGCGGGAAGAAGGCCCUCGGGUUGUAAACCGCUUUUGUCAGGGAAGAAAUCCUUUGGACUAAUACUCUGGGGGGAUGACGGUACCUGAAGAAUAAGCACCGGCUAACUACGUGCCAGCAGCCGCAGUAA